rnacentral:lncRNA from 1 species
AUCUUCUAAUUUUUGUCGAGCCUGCAACUUUUGUUGCAGAAAGCUCGACAUAGGGAUAGUGAUCCGGCGGCGGCGGCGGCGGCGGCGGCGGCGGCGGUGUUAGCUCACUUCUUAAAAGCUUUAUAUUUUAGAAGGUGGAAGACCUGGAUGCUUCAUACUUUGUAUAUAGAUGCCUCAUAUUACGAAGUUUCCGUCAGUCACAUGUCCAAUGUCCUUGACCUCAUUUUCAUGGUUCAGUGACCACUUGAAAAAAAAGUUCAGAUUUUUUGUAAUGUUGAAUUCUCUCUUAUUAUAAGUAAUAGGAUAACUAUAUUUGGUAUGUGCGUACCUUGCAAGGUCUUCAUGCCCGUCAGACAGUUUUCACUUGACCUCGACCUCAUUUCAUGGCUCAGUGAACAAAGUUAAGUUUUGGUGGUCAAGUCCAUAUCUCAGAUACUAUAAGCAAUAGGGCUAGUAUAUUCGGUGUAUGGAAGGACUGUAAGGUGUACAUGUCCAACUGGCAGGUGUCAUCUGACCUUGACCUCAUUUUCAUGGUUCAGUGGUUAUAGUUAAGUUUUUGUGUUUUGGUCUGUUUUUCUCAUACUUUAUGCAAUAGGUCUACUAUAUUUGUUGUAUGGAAUGAUUGUAAGGUGAUCAUGUCUAGCGGACAGAUGUCAUCUGACCUUGACCUCAUUUUCAUGGUUCAGUGGUCAAAGUUAAGUUUUUCAGUUUUGGUCUUUUUAUCUGAUACUAUACGCCUUAGGUCAACUAUAUUUAGUGUAUGGAAAUAUUAAAUGAUUUAUAUAUUAGUCGUGCAGGUUUUAUUUGACCUUGACCUCAUUUUCACUGUUCAUUGCUCAGUGUUAAGUUUUUGUGUUUUGGUCUAUUUUUCUUAAACUAUAAGUAUUAGGUCAACUAUAUUUGUUUUAUGGAAGCAUUGUUAGCUGUACAUGUCAGCCUGGCAUGGUUCAUCUGACCUUGACCUCAUUUUCAUGGUUCAUUGGUCUUUGUUUAGUUAUCUUGGUUAAUGUAACGUUUAUGUGACAGUUGUAAUAAAGCUUUAUACUUAG